rnacentral:snoRNA from 1 species
UAAAAAUGACGAGGUAUAGCACUGGGCACUGAUUAUAAAAAUCAUGAGUGACAAUGCUUUUAGUGGGCUUAGAAACCCCACGCUACUGAUUUU